UACGGCCACAUUACGUUGAAACACCGGUUUCCGUACGAUCACUGAAGUUAAGCAACGUCGAUCUUGGUCAGUACCUAAAUGAGUGACCGCUUGUGAAUACC